rnacentral:rRNA from 1 species
CGCGUAGGCGGAUGAGCAAGUCCGGAGUGAAAUCUUUCGGCUUAACCGGAAAAGUGCUUUGGAUACUGCUCGUCUUGAGGGAGGUAGGGGCAUGUGGAACUUCUGGUGGAGCGGUGAAAUGCGUUGAUAUCAGAAGGAACGCCGGUGGCGAAAGCGACGUGCUGGCCCUCUUCUGACGCUGAGGCGCGAAAGCUAGGGAGCAAACG